GUUAUUUGACUGGAGUGAGGUCUCAUGUCUGCUUAUGCGGUGGCUCGCUGCUCAGAACAGGAUGGCAGAGAUGAGCACCACCAUCAAAAACUCAAGGACCAGUGCUGUGGGUCCAGUCAUCUGUUUCAUGGAAUUCACCAGUCUGGUAUCUUCAAAAUCCAGAAGGAUGAUGGCAGAUGGCAGGAAGGUAAUGCAAACGUCAUCAGGUGUGACCCCACUGUAGCAGCUGUGAUGGAUGUUUUCUCUCACCAUAGCAAUAAAUAACACAACCUCGGUCACACUGUAUGCAUUGUUGGUCUGCAAAAUCCAUGUUUUGCAAAACUCUUCAGGAAGGUGGAUCUGUAAUAUUGGCAUUGACAUGAGAACAACAGCAGUAUUUAUUCACAAUCUCAAGCUCUCUGUCUUCCCGUCUCUCUCAUUAGCCAUCCAAGUAGUCCUGAGGAACCAAGCCCAUCAGAACAUUCUGCAACAUAAUACACAGCUCCAUUCUCCAUUCAAAUUUUGUUGUUGUUGUUGUUGUUGAUGAGACAACAUCUUACUCCAUCAGCCAGGCUGACGUACAGUGGGGCUAUCUGGGCUGACUGUAGUCUUGAGCUUCCAGGCUCAAGGCAUCCUCUCACCUCAGCCUCCUAAGUGGCUUGAACUACAGACACACAGCGACAUGCUGGGCUAGUUUUUGUAUAUUUUGUAGAGACGUGCUCUCACCAUGUUAUUCAGGCUGGACUCAAACUCCUGAGCGUAAGUGAUCCAAGCACCUUGGCCUCAAAGUGCUGAGAUUACAAGCCUGAGCCACUGCACCCAGCCCAAUCUCCAUUCUACUGAUAACAAUGUCAUUACCAGGUCUGAUGGACAGGAAAUGGUAAGGUUUCUGAAAACCUAAGGAUCACACAGCGAGUUCCAAAGGCUGAAAGUGCAUACCUGUCGACACUGAUACCAAUGACAUCCAAUGGAGGAAGAGGGUAAUCUGGAAGAGUUUCCUGACCUACUCUGCUGCUGUGAUUAAACAACCACCAGGAAAUUUUGAUGACACUGUUCUCCUGAGCUCCUCCCUUUCCUCGGGGAAGAAAAGCAUUGAAACUACAAAAAUAAAGUGUUAUUUGGCUGGAGUGAGGUCUCAUGUCUGCUUAUGCGGUGGCUCGCUGCUCAGAACAGG
rnacentral:misc_RNA from 1 species